GAUGAAGAACGUAGCGAAAUGCGAUAAGUAAUGUGAAUUGCAGAAUUCAGUGAAUCAUCGAAUCUUUGAACGCACAUUGCGCCCGCCAGCACUCUGGCGGGCAUGCCUGUUCGAGCGUCAUUUCAACCAUCAAGCCCCCAGGGGCUUGUGCUGGGGUCCUGCGGCUGCCCGCAGGCCCUGAAAACCAGUGGCGGGCUCGCUAGUCACACCGAGCGCAGUAGCACAUCUCGCUCAGGGCGUGCGGCGGGCUCCUGCCGUGAAACCCCCCACUGUAACCCCAAAGGUUGACCUCGGAUCAGGUAGGAAUACCCGCUGAACUUAAGCAUAUCAAUAAGCGGAGGA
rnacentral:misc_RNA from 1 species